AUCGGCUCCAUUAGACUUGGUCUACACUAUUGAAAGUAUUUGAAAACUAAAGUUCAUAAUUUUUCGACAUUAUUUGGCUAGUGAUCAAAAGGUCUCAGAAUUGACAAUUUUAACGGUAGAUUUGAUGUGUUUGUGAAUUUAACGGUGUAAAACAAUCUAAAUUUGAUAAAAUUUUUUAUAGAAAAUUCUUUUCACUAUUUAAAGUAAGAUCAGUACCUCUGAUUUUAAAUUCAACUCUUUUAUCAUCAUUUUUUUUUGAGAUUUUUAUUUUCAGCCGUUCAUUUUUAGACUACUCGUUUGAUAGGUAAAUGAUGCCGAAAAAUUAUGAAAUUAAUUUCCAAAUACUUUCAAUAGUGUAGAUCAAGUCUAACGGAGCCAAUCGUCGAUUUGGAAGCCACAUCAUUGAAAACAACCUGGUAGCACGGAGGCUUCCGUGCUACCGAUAGUAUACCAGCCUAGCUCUAUAUAUAUAACCAAGUUGUUUUUAAUGGUGCGGCUUUCAAAUCAACGAUCGGCUCUGUUAUACUUGAUCUACACUAUUGAAAGUAUUUGGAAACUAAAUUUCAUAAUUUUUCAGCGUCAUUUACCUAUCAAACGAGUAGUCUCAAAAUGAACGGCUGAAAAAAAAAUCUCAUAAAAAAUGAUGAUAGAAGACUUGAAUUUAAGAUCAGGGGUAUUGGUCUUAUUCUAAAUGGUAAAAAAAAAAAUAUAAAAAUUUUAUCAGAUUUGGAUUGUUUUACAUCGUUAAAUUCAUAAACGCAUCACAUCUGCCAUUAAAAUUGUCAAUUUUUAGACUUU
rnacentral:lncRNA from 1 species